CUCAGCUCUAACUUCGUAGUUACAGAUCAGAACUGCUCAGUUCACCUUCUCAAGAUGAGGUUCCCUGCUCAGCUCUUGGGGCUGUUAAUGCUCUGGGUCCCUGGAUCAAGUGGGGAUAUUGUGAUGACCCAGACUCCACUCUCCCUGCCAGUCACCCCUGGAGAGCCGGCCUCCAUCUCCUGCAGGUCUAGUCAGAGCCUCCUGCAUAGUGAUGGAAGAACCUAUUUGUAUUGGUACCUGCAGAAGCCAGGGCAGCCUCCACGGCUCCUAAUUUAUACAGUUUCCAACCGGUUCUCUGGGGUGCCAGACAGGUUCAGUGGCAGUGGAUCAGGCACAGAUUUCACACUGAAAAUCAGCCGGGUGGAGGCUGAGGAUGUUGGGGUUUAUUACUGCAUGCAAGCUUUACAAAAUCCUCCCACGUUGAUACAGCCCUUAACAGAAACCUCCCUGUUUGCAUGGCCCAGCUGCCCACAUGUACUGCUUGUCUGGGGAGCAGCUCAGCAGGGUCUCUGAGUCUGCAGAGAGGAGGCUGUUGGAGAACUCAGGGCAGAGCUUGCUGCUGAGGACUCUGGCCCAUGAGAGCCUCAGCUGUGCCUCAGUGUCACAUGGCAGCGCUCAAUCAGCUGUCACAGCAUGAGGAUGGCAUCAGCAGUAGAACUAUUCAGAUGUUUCAAGUGUCCUAGAAGCAAACAGCUCUGAUGGAGGGAGAGUGAAUGAAAGUUCAUCCUCACCCUCCCUGUCUGGCCCACACGUGUCAAGUACAUUUAUUUGGCAGAACAACCAGACAAUGGAAGCAAAUUAGUGCCAACUCAAGUAGAAUAUGUGUUGGAAAUAAACAGUUCGAAGUUGAGUUUAUUCAAGUUAAUACUUGGUAAUAUGGGAAAAGUAUUACUUUCUCACUUUCCGAACAUACUAUUCUCCUUUAUCACUUAACUAAACUGCCCUUUUCAUUAACAUGUUCGAGAACGCAUUCUAUGCAAGCUGCCCUCAGGGAAGUAUGGCUAAGAAUAGUCAGCAAAUAUGUUUGAUUGACUAUUCAUAGACUUUGUAGACCCACUGCGUAUAUAAAAUCCUCAUGCCAAAUAUCUUAAAUUUGAUUCAGUUACCAUUUGUUCAGUGAAAAGGAAGUUCUUGCAGUUACAAAAGUGAACUCUGAAAACAAAGAAAUCAUAAACUGGAAGAUGGAGAACAGAAAGUUUACUUCAUUUACUACAAGAGAAAUGUAGAAUGAAUACAAUAUGUCAGCAAUUAGGUUGCUGUUGUAUUUCCCUGAUGUGAAUUGUAGGAUCUCAGGCCUGUGGUCUUAUUUAACUACAGAAAAGCCUUUCAAGUGUGGACACUCGUUACUUUCCGGAGUAUCUGGAAUGAUCUACGGUAGAGAAGCUACUAAAAAUUACAUUAAAAAAGAAAAAGAUGGCUGUUUUUGAUGAUGGGUGACUAGAGGUAGCCAGGAAGAGCUGCUCCCACUGAGAGAAACCAGACCAUCAAGUGGACCAGCGCACUCUAGACAGAUCUUUGGGAAGAAGACUUUUAAAGUGGAAACAGGGAGGACACAUCCUGGGCUGGAAGGGGAGGAAGCUGGGAACCCUGUGCGGGGUUUCUGAAUACCAGGACUCCUCCUGACCCUUAGUGGCCCCUAGGGAAGGGGUAAGUGAAACAGGCAUGGAGCAUCCCACACUUGCCAUAGAACUCCAUAAUCCUAGCUCUGGAAAAACCUAUGACCCCCGCAGACAUUUGAGUUGGCAAGUAGAACUGCCUGUAGACUGGGCAGAGAGAGAACUUCAGUCCUGCAGAGAGUACAGAGGGUUUGGAGUGGGAGAGGCUGAAGUGGAGCAUGGCCAUGGGCACCAGCCCCCCAAGGCCUGGCUAAUUUUUUGUAUUUUUGGUAACAGUGUUUCACCAUGUUAGCCAGGAUGAUCUCGAUCUCUCGACCUCGUGAUCUGUCCGCCAUGCCCUCCCAAAGUGCUGGGAUUACAGGCAUGAGCCAUGGCGCCCAGCCCCAAAGAAGAUUUUUAGCCAUUCAGAGAAUGCUUGCUUUUCAUAUCACAGAAAACUUCACCCACAUCUGUUAGCAGUAGGUAAGAUAAGCCCCAGGUUAUGAAAAUUGCAAACCACUUCUGCCCUCUGGAUACCUCAGACCCAGAGUAAGCUGUUGUCUGGCUACCCCUAGACACAGAAGCCCUUUCUCCAAUGUUCCUUCACCUUAGGAGUUCCCUUGGUCUCCACCUUUUCUGAGUAGCAACCCCAACAUCUUUGAUUCUAGACAGUCUCCUGCUGUGAGGGACUCCUUUGGGCAAAUCUCUCAAAGCUUCACCCAACAGUCAUGUGUGCUGCUGCCACCCUACGGACAUUGUUUUCUCUUUGAUCAGAACCCCAAUUUCUCAAACUCUCUGUGAACAGAGCCACACUGUCCACCCGACAAACGGACUCCGGCGUAAUGGACUCAGUUCCACUUCUGAGACUGACUUCCCAAGUCAUACAAAUAAUACACUUGUCUUCAAUUUUACGGACUCCAAACUAACAGCAUCUGGCAAGUGACAUGCAGUAAACUCCACCUGUUUGAGUCCUUCCUCAUUCAAGUGAUCAUGGUCCAGAUGAGAGAAAUACAGAGGCCCGCUCCACUUCUGGAUCAAAUGGAGGCUGUUCAUCUACCUUUUUAUCUGUGUCCCCGUGGAGUGACUAGCUUUGUCUGCUGUUGUGAAGCCUCUGCAUAUUCUACUAACAUUCAGGAGACAGAUUCCUGUUUAGAAUGAAGAAUAUUAUUCUUUAAGUUUAACAGUAUAGGGCAAUUUCAAGGCCUUUAGUAUAGGGUGACUUCAGAACCUUUUUAUUACUGAAAAAAUUUUUUACAAGCUUUUACAUUUUCAAAUAUGUAAUGACAAGAGAUUAUGAGAUAAAACAACCAAUCCCAAUGGUAACCUUUUUAAAGCUUUGUCAUUAAUUUUCAAAGGAAGCCACAGUACUCUCUGAAAUUCAGCACCCUAAAGAAUACUUUGUAAAACUAAGAUUUGAAGAAUUGGCUCAUAGUAAAAGCAAGCCUGAUAGAUUUAUUACUGUAAUUCAUUUUCCCACAGUGCAAGUUUCUAUAUUGGAUAGUGGGUGGAACUGAUUAUUCAUUUAACACCUUUUCAGACUAAUCCGUUUAUACCAGUGAUAAGAUGUACCUUAAUGUUCUCUUUUAGAUUGUGUGUUUCUUUUGUGUGUUUACUUUUAUUUUUCUUUUCAGUAUCUGAUGUUUCUAACCCUUUUAAAUAUUAUGAUGAAUUAGGAGUUUGACAUGUUCAGGGCUAAGAACCAUAUUUGAUCUGAUCAGCAUCACAAGGAAGAAGAAGUCAAUGCCAGGCACAGUGGCUCACUCCUGUAAUCCCAGCACUUUGGGAGGCCAAGGCAGGUGGAUCGCU